rnacentral:rRNA from 1 species
UUUCCGUAGGUGAACCUGCGGAAGGAUCAUUAUCGAAGCAGAGAUCGGCUCU